GACAUGUAAGAUAGCUGUAAUUCUUAUGGUACUAAGUCAUAUUAUUUUCUCUUUUCAUCCAAUUUUUUUUUCUCUACCUGAGGUUGAAAAGUAGCUAGGGAAUAAAAAGGGGAAAAGUUCUGUGAAUGUCUGCUUCUCGCUGUGCACAUAACCUUUAUUCAAGUGAGGAGAGGUAAGAACAGAAAGGGGAUAGAAAAGAGACUGAAGGAUAAAACGUGCAAAACUUGUGACUCACUAGGAGCCGGCGGGAUGAAAGAAAGGGGCAGAGUUAAGGCACUUUGAGAAUAGAGGGUCAGGAGAGGAAAGAUGCCUUUAGAUAUUUGAGGGGCCCGUGGGGAGCCCAGGAUCUGCGGAGAGUGACAGUCAUGCCGAAGCCAGGAUGGCCUUGUUCGGGGUGCUGUGGGGACGCAGAGCUCCAGCUGGGGAGUGUGAGGGGCCACAGGGGCUGGAGGCCGGCAGCAGGGAGGUACAAGGAGUAGGAGAGGAAAUGACAAAUGGUAUCAGAUCACGCCAGUGGGUCAAGUCAAGGAUGGAUAAAAGCAUUGGUUGAGUAUCUGCUACAUUUUUUUUUUUUUUUUAGUGAUAUUUUCCGUGUAGCACGAAGUUCAAGAACAGGCCGAGCUAGCCGGUGUACUGAUUAGGGAGCUCUGUAUAUGGUAGAUCCUGUAGCAGAGCAAGGGAGCUGCCCUCACGGGCUCGGGUCGGAGGAAGGGCGGGGUACCGGCGCUGCUGGGAACUUCUCCGUUAUGACCCAGAGGCACUGGGCACGGUGCUCCCGUUCGCUUUUGUAUAUGCUAAUGCACUCUUGUAUGUAGGCUCUACUUUAAACCCGUCCCUCCCAGUUUUAAAAACUGCAUCACUUAAAAGAGUAUUUGUAAAUGAUUUAAGUAAAGGAGUACUAGGUGGUUCACCCCCAGGCUCAGGCACAGGUGGGUCGAAGGAGCACUGACUGAGGUGGCUUCUGCCACCACAAAAUAAAAAGUUGUCGUCAGGAAGAGGGAGACUGAGGACAAAUAAGCAGCCACAACAGCCUUAGGGCUGGGCUCGGGGUGCCCCUUCCAGCCCCACCUGCCCUCGGUCCGAGCACCAAGGACGGAGCCCAUGCAGAUGAAGAGCAUGCUUGAGAGCCCCAGGGCGUUGUCUCCGGCUGCAGCGUGUGACCCACCUCACGCUGGACAGCGCGGCUAGGUCGCUUGGCAGGCCUCGCCCCAGGGACAGCUUCUGUGUGCCCCUCAGUGCGGGAAGGACCCGCUCUCCCGUUGGUUGGCAGGAAUUGUCAUACUGCAGAAUCAGUGAGUUGUCACCGUGGACUAGGAGGUCAGUCUUUGGGCACUUGGGUGCUCAGGCAGUGAGUUCCGCAGGACUGUCCCUCUGGUCACAAGGGGUCUGUGGUGUCUGCCCUUAGCCCAGGGCCUGUCCCGGCACCUGCGGUACAGUAGGCGUCACACGGACCGUUGGGAUGAAGACCAUGGUCGGGCUUCUAGAACCACGGUCUAGGCCAUAGGCUGCCUAGAAGCAGGGAUUCUGUGAACACAGGAAGAGUUGCUCAGUAUCGUUAGUCAUCAGGGAAGUGCAGCUCAAAACCAGACGCCCAGUCCCACUUCACACCCACCAGAUGUGGAGUGGAACCCUCGUGCCCCGCCGACAGGAACGUAAACCAGGCAGCUGCUGGGGAGACAGCUCGGUAGCUCCUCAGAGUGCUGUCCGGAGUUAUAGGGUUUUCCGAUGCACUAGUUCUCCUACUAAAUAUGUACAUAAAAACGUACGUUCACACUGAACUUGUAUGCAGAUUUUCAUAGCAGCUGUAUUCGUCGUAGUCUACGGGUAGAGACCACCCGUUGGCCGCUGAUGCGCGGGGGUGACGCUGUUCAGGGCAAGAGCAGGUGCACCGCUGGCCCUGCUGUCCACCUCUGACCUUUGACCUCCACCCCAAAUCCCAUGGCCCUGCUCUCCCUCUUGGAGGCAGACUGGGAAGGUGCUGGCCGGCCCCUCGCCCCUCACCCUGCUCCUCAGUCCGCCCAGUCUCUGACCUCUGACCUCUUGCAGAGUAGGGGCUGGGGGUUGGAGACAACAUCUACCGCGCCUCUCUCUAGAGUCACCGUGAGGUUUAAGCUACUCUGUUGAAAAGUUCUUUAUGAAGCAAAGGCUCAGGAAGAUGCCCAAAAUUAAUAAUCCUGGGACUAAAGCACAUGCUGUGACCUUUGAAUAACAACUGAAAGUAAAGGAACUGUGGAUGGUACACCCGGGAAGAGUAGUUCCACAUGUCCCUGUGAGUGUGGCAGCCACAUUUACAGACGUUCCAGAUUCUCAGACGUUCUGUUCUGUGUGACACUCCUGUGGUGUGAGCCUCACAUCGGAGCCUUGAUAAGUAGGAUUUUUGACAAGUGGUCAUGGGAGGGGACAGGCCUGUCCAAGUGGAAGGUGAUGGGGCUGGAGUGGAGCAGGCCAAGCAAUGGAAGAUGGGGAGGCUAGGGUGCCUUGCACUCAAAGGGCAAAGUCCUCUUUCGAAAACCACCGGCCAAGCUGGGGGUGCGGUGGGUGCUGGUGUCCCCCUCUCCCUGGACCCCCGGUCCCUUUAUGUUAUUCAGUAGAUAGUUAAAGACUUUGGCGUCUGCUUGGACGGCAGGGAGAUUGUUCGUGGUCAGAGGGAAUGGCUGUUGUGGUGUCCGUUGGUCUCUGAUUGACUCCACGUGAUGUCUGUGACUGUAAACUCCGCUUCUUCACAGCUGACCAGAGUCUCUCCUUUUACUUCAUCUCUGACUUUUCAUCUUUGUCUCAUGUAGGAAACCGCUGAUUGCUUGUGUGGAGAAGCAGCUCUUAGGAGAACAUUUAACAGCAAUUCUGCACAAAGGGCUGGACCACCUGCUUGAUGAGAACAGAGUGCCCGACCUCACUCAGAUGUACCAGCUGUUCAGCCGUGUGAAGGGCGGGCAGCAGAUCCUGCUGCAGCACUGGAGUGACUACAUCAAGACUUUUGGGACAACAAUUGUGAUCAAUCCUGAAAAAGACAAAGAUAUGGUACAGGAUCUGCUGGAUUUUAAGGAUCGGGUGGACCAUGUGAUAGAAGUGUGCUUCCAGAGAAAUGAGAAGUUCAUCAACUUGAUGAAGGAGUCCUUUGAAACGUUUAUCAACAAGAGGCCAAAUAAGCCCGCGGAGCUGAUAGCAAAGCACGUUGAUUCAAAGUUGAGAGCGGGUAAUAAAGAAGCAACAGACGAAGAGCUGGAGAGGAUUCUUGACAAGGUCAUGAUAAUAUUCAGGUUCAUUCACGGUGAGAUACCCUCUACGCUGUUCCUAUUA